CUCCUGUCUUUUUUCUGAGGAAUUUUUUUUUGUAAAACAAGAAAUGAAAUUGGUCUGGCUUUAUAUGAAAGCAAAAACUUCAUAUUAAAAAUCAAAUAUCACU